CGGUCUCAGCUCAGAUUGUGGGCUGCAACCCGCCCCACAUGAAGUCGGAGUUGCUAGUAAUCGCGGAUCAGCAUGCCGCGGUGAAUGCGUUCCCGGGCCUUGUACACACCGCCCGUCACACCAUGGAAGGUUGGGGGCGCCCGAAGCCGAUGGCCUAACCGCAAGGAGGGAGUCGUCGAAGGUGAAAACCAAUGACUGGGGUGAAGUCGUAACAAGGUAUC
rnacentral:rRNA from 1 species